rnacentral:rRNA from 1 species
UACAGGGGGUGCAAACGUUGCUCGGAAUCAUUGGGCGUAAAGCGCACGUAGGCGGUUCGUUAUGUCGGAUGUGAAAGCCCUUGGCUUAACCGAGGAAGUGCAUCCGAAACUGGCGAGCUAGAGUACUAAAGAGGAUCGCGGAAUUCCCGGUGUAGAGGUGAAAUUCGUAGAUAUUGGGAAGAACACCGGUGGCGAAGGCGGCGCUCUGGACCGAGACUGACGCUGAGGCGCGAAGGCGUGGGGAGCAAACAGG